GUAGGUGAACCUGCGGAAGGAUCAUUGCCGAACGGACACGCGCCGCCUCCGCCCUCCUCGCUUCCGCGAGUGGUGGCCCGGCCGUGUCUUAUCGCACACCCAUGUGAACUCGUGAUCGUGACCCUGGACGGCGCGCGCGCGCUCGCGCUCGCACGCCGAUCCGGCUCCCUUCUCUAACCAACCCCUGUACCCACUUGUCUGAGACAAAACAGGCACGUCACGCCUCAAAACGUGGCUCUGCCGACAAGAC
rnacentral:misc_RNA from 1 species